UUGAACGCUGGCGGCGUGCCUAACACAUGCAAGUCGAGCGGUAACAGGUGUAGCAAUACAUGCUGACGAGCGGCGGACGGGUGAGUAACGCUUGGGAAUCUGCCUGAUAGUGGGGGACAACCCGGGGAAACUCGGGCUAAUACCGCAUACGCACUACGGUGGAAAGCCGGGGACCGCAAGGCCUGGCGCUAUCAGAUGAGCCCAAGUCGGAUUAGCUAGUUGGUAGGGUAACGGCCUACCAAGGCGACGAUCCGUAACUGGUCUGAGAGGACGACCAGUCACACCGGAACUGAGACACGGUCCGGACUCCUACGGGAGGCAGCAGUGGGGAAUAUUGGACAAUGGGCGAAAGCCUGAUCCAGCGACGCCGCGUGGGUGAAGAAGGCCUGCGGGUUGUAAAGCCCUUUCAGUGGGGAAGAAAAGCCUCGAGUUAAUACCUCGGGGUCUUGACGUAACCCAUAG
rnacentral:rRNA from 1 species